UACGUAGGGUGCGAGCGUUGUCCGGAAUUAUUGGGCGUAAAGAGCUCGUAGGCGGUGUGUCACUUCGAUCGUGAAAACUUGGGGCUUAACCCUGAGCUUGCGGUCGAUACGGGCAUCACUGGAGUUCGGCAGGGGAGACUGGAAUUCCUGGUGUAGCGGUGAAAUGCGCAGAUAUCAGGAGGAACACCGGUGGCGAAGGCGGGUCCCUGGGCCGAUACUGACGCUGAGGAGCGAAAGCGUGGGGAGCGAACAGG
rnacentral:rRNA from 1 species